CGGAUGUGUCCGCCUGCUGCCAUUAGCUUCCGGGCUGUAGCGAACUCGCUGUGGUCUCCUCACCGAUCUACAGUACGCGCAUGCGCCACGCACGCGCACUCCCAGGCAAGGCACAGUAACUAAGAGAAGCCUCACGGUACACUCUUGAGAGCAGCUCAGAGGGCAGUGCUGAUUUCUCUACUAAGUCUCAACCCACCAACCAACUAACCAACUAGUAACACCUCCAUUUCUAUGGCACACCCGUCAUAUUUACCAUGAUAACCAAGGAAUCGUGCCGGGGAGUGGGGAUACACGCCCCUGUCUACCUAAAGGUUGGAGAAGAACACAUUGUGGAUAAAUUGUCAAACCAGACUUUUUCUGAAAGAACAUUACAUGGAAGGUGAAACUAUCCUGCAUCACCGAUAGAGAAUACUAAUUUAUUAAUAUAAAUGAUAAGAUUGCUGUUAGAGAU